AGGUCUCCCACUAGCCGCGGCCACUGCGGUGCCCAAGCCGCGCUCCUCGGGGUCGCCCGGGAUGUCCCUCUUCUCUGGGUCCCCUGCCGGCUGGCGUUUGGCCGCCCGCCCUCACCCCUCCUCCUUCUUCUUCUCCCCUCCGGGCAUUCCGACGAAAAGCAGCAGUUCCUGACUCCCUCUCUCCCUCCGGCUCCAUCUAGGAAACCAAUUUUAGGAACGUUGAGUGCCAGACCCUUCCUAAAAUCCCUGGUUUGCCAAAGUCUCAACGAGAGAACGGAUACUUAGUAUUUCUAGAAGGCAUUUCCACCCCGAGGACUGCAAGUGUUCUCACGUUCUUUGCGUUCAUCAUGACCUCCAAGUGUCCCACUGGAGCUGUCAUUCCCGUAGUUCCAAAGAGAAUACUCGAGCGCGGAGCGAUUCCAUUGCAUUUCCUUCCAGUAGCCAGGUUUUGACCACUUACUGAAGAGUAGACACCAGCCCCGCGGCAGCGCUCUCUGCUGCAAAAAGCUGUCUACGGAGCAAGACGGAAGGAAACAGUUACAGAAAAUAAAAAUUUGAUAACGACAUGCGACUCGGUUGCUGAGAGGACAGAGAAAGUGACUUAUUUUUGCAUCUCAGGCACUUUGUAGAGGGCCUUUAGCACAAAGAACUCCCGGCUCUUCCAGAUGUUAAACUCCCUGAAUAGAAGGACAGCGUCUUCUUUUUCGUUAUCCAUCAUGUCAGCUCUCCUUUAGCGCCUGCUGGGGUAGGGUGGAGUGGUGGGGGCGGGGCUGGCACCCAACAAGUGCACCAUAAAUAUCUGUUGGCUGGAUACAUGAACAAAUGGAAUUAAAUAAAUUGGCCUAAUUCUGUUA
rnacentral:lncRNA from 1 species